rnacentral:tRNA from 2 species
GUGGAUAUAACGGAACGGUAAACGUAUCAGAUUUAAAAUCUGAUGUCUAAAAGACUUACAGGUUCAAAUCCUGUUAUCCGCC